AUUUUCCUCUGCUUCUCUCAGGGCAGCUGGCGUGGCCACCUCGCAAGGCUGCUUCUAGGGACACGAGACUCGGGAGGGUCAGAGACUUUCAGGCCGGGCCUUCACUCCCUUCCCCGGGGCACUUGGGCAAGAGUUCCAGCUCUUGGCUACCUCUGGCCCGCGCGUGAGUUCAGACACCCAGCACACGCGACCCCCGCAGGGAAACCCCGGGAAGCUGCGCGCAAUCGCUGGGGACUCGCCAGGGCUCCACUUCCCAAGCUCCGCGCCCCCUGCGCCCAAAGAGGCAGGGCGGAGCAGAGGCCGCCGGCGUGGAGGAGGCGAGCGCGGGGCUGGCCCGGGAGCCGCCCCCGGGGAGGGACUGAGACCUGCCCCAGGAGUCGAGGGCGAGCGGCGGACCCGGCUGGGCCCGGCGCACGCCGAGGAGAGGGAGCCCCCGCCACCGCCGCUGCCUCCGCGUGCUCAGCCUGUCCCCGCCCAGGGAGCCGGAGCCUCCAACUAACUCCGCCCGCCGCUCCGCCGCCCGCAGGCUCCGGCUUCCGUCCCGGACAGAGCCCGUGGUCGCGCAGGUUCUGAAUGAUGACUGACGCGGGUUUGGGUGAUACCCCUCACAGCCCCUGUCAUUCCGGAGUCAUAAGGCACCCGCGCGUCUAGCCCCAGCGCCAGGGCACGCGAGCGGCGCUGGAGGGAGGAAAGCUUCCGCCUGCGGGCCGGACAAAAGUCCCGCCUGCCCACGGCUUUUUGCCCGCCGCUCGUGACCGAGACGCCUCGCCGCGGCCAGCUCGCUGCUCUCGCUGGCGGAUGGUGUGUGGCCGCCGCAGGACGCC
rnacentral:lncRNA from 1 species